ACGCUGGCGGCGUGCCUAAUACAUGCAAGUCGAACGGUCUUUCUAUGGAAGCUUGCUUCCACUGAGAAGAUAGUGGCGAACGGGUGAGUAACACGUGGGGUAACCUGCCCGAUAAGAGGGGGGAUAACAUCCGGAAACGGGUGCUAAUACCGCAUAGUUUUCUUGAUCGCAUGAUCGGGAAAGGAAAGACGGCCUUUGUGCUGUCGCUUAUGGAUGGACCCGCGGCGUAUUAGUUAGUUGGUGAGGUAACGGCUCACCAAGACGAUGAUACGUAGCCGACCUGAGAGGGUGAUCGGCCACAUUGGGACUGAGACACGGCCCAAACUCCUACGGGAGGCAGCAGUAGGGAAUCUUCCGCAAUGGACGAAAGUCUGACGGAGCAACGCCGCGUGAGUGAAGAAAAGGGUUUUCGGAUCGUAAAACUCUGUUGUCAGAGAAGAACAAGUUGGAGAGUAACUGCUCCAGCCUUGACGGUAUCUGACCAGAAAGCCACGGCUAACUACGUGCCAGCCGCAGC
rnacentral:rRNA from 1 species